rnacentral:sRNA from 1 species
UUUUUGCGUUAGGGAUUGCAGCGGCAUCCUUUUUUAAUUUUAAACACGCAGCCUUGGCAAGUGGUUGAAAUUAAAAAAGAUAUAGCGAAAAGCCCGACCUAAU